GAAAAAAUGUGCAUAAAGUGGACCCAGGCAGUUCAAACCCAUGUUGUUCCAGGGCCAGCUGUAUAAUUAGCUAGUUUAUCUUUCUUCAGUUUUUUAGAUGGGCGUAAAACUGAGUACUCCAACCUUUGCCGUGGAUCAUCAGACUCUACAACCAGGUUGGCAGCAUGAGCCCGUGUGAUAACCAACUCUGAUCCACUGUAGGUACCUGGAGUGCAGUGUUGAAAGGAUCCUGAGGCCGAGCCCAGGCUGAGUGGUAGAGUAAUGUCUGCUGUACGAGGGACAAGAAGAAAAGAAAGGGCAAUGCCAAGUCUGCAUUAGAGCCUCGGUACCCACGCUAAGAGAGUUUGAAAGUUAAGACAACAUCCUCCUACAGAUGUACUAUUUAAGUCACGAACAUGAGAAAGAUGUGCUGAAAGGAACUUUGUUUUUCAUGUGGAACUGGAUGGAAGCCCCUCAGACAUGAAGGUGAUAACCUAAGCCCUCUAAUGACUGUUUCCUGGCCCAAUGCCAGGCACCCAGGAGGCACCCAAAUAUUUGUUGAAUUCAGCUGGAAUUCGUUCCGCAGCCUUUGGAAACCAGGGCACAGUUUUGUUCAUUGAACUGUCCUGUGAUGGAAGGUCAGUAAGCGAAUCGCCCUGGGUCCUGCUGUCACCUCUGAACUAGUCCGCUGUGCGAACCGGGGAAAUGUUUAAUGAAUCCUCGGCCGGUUUGAGCUGCGACCAGCAGUCCUCGGCAUGGGCUCCCUGGGACGUGGGGCCCACCUUUUUGAAUGUGCAUGAAUGCUUCUGUCUAUCAGUGUUGGGUGAGCUCAGGAACUUGAACGCUAAAGGCCCGGCAUGGGAGCCAGCCAGCAGGCAGCCUUACAGAGGCCCUGUGACACUGGAGCAACGCUGUUCAGCAGAACUAGGAGCAGCAAAUGGGAGCCGUGUAUUUAAUAUAAAAUCUUAGUAGCCACAUUAAAAAAGUAAACAGAAA